UUAGAUGCAAUGAUAGAGAGAAAGAUAUCCUAUUUAUUUUUUAGAGAGUGAGGUUAGGUGAAAGCUCACAGAUAAAUAGAUAUGUAAUAUUCACUCUAAAGCAUGGCGGUUGAAAUUUAAGUAGACUGCUACGGAAGCCCCCGUUAUUAAGGACAGAAAUUGAUAGAUUUCUUGAGAUAAUUAUUUUAAUUAUAAAAUUAGGUGGUACCGCGAUCCUUCGCCCUAUGU
rfam:Peptoniphilus lacrimalis DNF00528 contig021, whole genome shotgun sequence.